UUGACUGCCAAUGGCUAGGUAGCUAGCUGACGUUAGUGCAACAGGUGGGCAGGUGUUGAACGGUUUCCUGCAUCACCUCUUCCUAUGAAGGGUUUGAUCGAACUUCGUAGCUAGCAAGCGAGAAAACAUUUUUCUAUAUCUUCUGCUAACGUUACCUUCCCUGCCACGGUCGGAUAUCCAGCUAACACAACAAGGGAAUAUGCAUAUUUCACUAAUAUAACUAGCUACUCGUUGUAUAUUCGGGUUGCUAAAUUUAGCUCUUAGUAAGUCGCCUGUUACUUUUCACGAGAAAAAAAAUUGACAUGCAGCACGUGCUGGGCGUUCCAAACAUACACAGGGAGACAAUCACUGGCAUGCAAACAAUAACGACAGGAAAAUGUUUGCUGGUGGGAAUUUCGUUGGUGACUCAAAAGAACAAAAAGCAUUGAGCUAAAGCUAGCUAGCUAUCACACUAAACAAAUGUGUGUAAGUUACUGUACAUGGAUCGUUCAAGACGAUCCAGCUAACGCGGCGUGACUCAACGUUUUGACCCUCACCUCUCUCUGCCACCAGUAGCAGCUAUAUUCAUUUAGUAGCAAGUGACUCGAAACUUAGCAUCAGCCUUAUAUAAUAAAAUAAAGACCAGUAUACGGUUGGUUCAAUCAAUAUCCGACCUUAAACAGUAAGACGGAUAAUCAUUUCACUGCAUUAAUUCAUUUUUCUUAGUCGUCCACAAUAUUUAAUUAAUGAACAUAGACGGUGUGGGCGUAGAGGAUACGUGUGCUAGCUAGUACAAGCGGUCUUAUCUGACGUUACCUGACCAUCGCUCCAGCUAGCUACCUUUCGCCAGGUUAGUUAUAAAUAAGGGCAAGUAACGUUAGAUACCAUUAGCUAGCUAGCUGCCUUCCUUCAAUACUUGGUGGCUUUACUGACAGACAUAACUCAUAUUAAAAGCCACCAAGCAUCGACCUAAAGGCUAAGCUAGCUAUCAUACAAAACAAGUGUGUGUGUGUGCCUGUACAACAAGGAUCCUUCAAAACUAUCCAGCCCCAGCUAACACGGCGUGACAUACCACGUUUUGACCAUCACCCUCUCUCUGCCAUCAGUGUUGAGUUGGCUGGAGGAGGUGCAGAUGACAAGAAGAAGAUAAAGGAGGGGGGAGGCCACCACUACAGCGUCUGCAAAACUCCUGUGUGAGACCAAGGCCAUUCCCAACCUGAUCUACAGUAUAGAGCAGUAUGAGAAAUACCCCAUCAACCUCUCCAAGAAAUCAAAGUUAUGUAUGGGAGUGCUUUGGGAUGGGAGAUUGUCUCAAAUUGAAUGUAAGUGUCUACUUGUAACCAAACAUAAAGCAAGAUGAGGACACACAAUAGAAGAUAGAGCCUUGUGGGACAUUUCAGUAAAAGAACAUCUCCCAAACUAAACAUACACUUCAUUAUUGUAACUACAAGAUAAAACGGGUGUCUGUGUGUUGCGUAGGUGAAUCUUAUUCAGUACAUGAAGCUGAGAGAUUUCCACAUCAACUGGAAGCAGCGCUGCAGGAGCAGGACAAGUCAGCAGACCACAGCCUCUCAGGAGCCAGAGCAGAGCCAGGAGCCCAAGAGGAAGCAGUGAUGGAAAACAAUACAUCUUUUUCCCUCUAAACCGCUCAAUAGACUCCUCUCUCAACCAGUCUGGAGCUUCCCCCCUUCAUUCGGAUGA